rnacentral:rRNA from 1 species
AAAGGACGACAUUAGACGAAUCAUCUGGAAAGAUGAAUCAAAGAAGGUAAUAAUCCUGUAGUCGAAAAUGUUGUCUCUCUUGAGUGGAUCCUGAGUACGACGGAGCACGUGAAAUUCCGUCGGAAUCUGGGAGGACCAUCUCCUAAGGCUAAAUACUCUCUAGUGACCGAUAGUGAACCAGUACCGUGAGGGAAAGGUGAAAAGCACCCCGGAAGGGGAGUGAAAUAGAACCUGAAACCGUGUGCUUACAAGUAGUCAGAGCCCGUUAAUGGGUGAUGGCGUGCCUUUUGUAGAAUGAACCGGCGAGUUACGAUUUGAUGCAAGGUUAAGCAGUAAAUGUGGAGCCGUAGCGAAAGCGAGUCUGAAUAGGGCGUUUAGUAUUUGGUCGUAGACCCGAAACCAGGUGAUCUACCCUUGGUCAGGUUGAAGUUCAGGUAACACUGAAUGGAGGACCGAACCGACUUACGUUGAAAAGUGAGCGGAUGAACUGAGGGUAGCGGAGAAAUUCCAAUCGAACCUGGAGAUAGCUGGUUCUCUCCGAAAUAGCUUUAGGGCUAGCCUCAAGUGAUGAUUAUUGGAGGUAGAGCACUGUUUGGACGAGGGGCCCCUCUCGGGUUACCGAAUUCAGACAAACUCCGAAUGCCAAUUAAUUUAACUUGGGAGUCAGAACAUGGGUGAUAAGGUCCGUGUUCGAAAGGGAAACAGCCCAGACCACCAGCUAAGGUCCCAAAAUAUAUGUUAAGUGGAAAAGGAUGUGGCGUUGCCCAGACAACUAGGAUGUUGGCUUAGAAGCAGCCAUCAUUUAAAGAGUGCGUAAUAGCUCACUAGUCGAGUGACACUGCGCCGAAAAUGUACCGGGGCUAAACAUAUUACCGAAGCUGUGGAUUGUCCUUUGGACAAUGGUAGGAGAGCGUUCUAAGGGCGUUGAAGCAUGAUCGUAAGGACAUGUGGAGCGCUUAGAAGUGAGAAUGCCGGUGUGAGUAGCGAAAGACGGGUGAGAAUCCCGUCCACCGAUUGACUAAGGUUUCCAGAGGAAGGCUCGUCCGCUCUGGGUUAGUCGGGUCCUAAGCUGAGGCCGACAGGCGUAGGCGAUGGAUAACAGGUUGAUAUUCCUGUACCACCUAUAAUCGUUUUAAUCGAUGGGGGGACGCAGUAGGAUAGGCGAAGCGUGCGAUUGGAUUGCACGUCUAAGCAGUAAGGCUGAGUAUUAGGCAAAUCCGGUACUCAUUAAGGCUGAGCUGUGAUGGGGAGAAGACAUUGUGUCUUCGAGUCGUUGAUUUCACACUGCCGAGAAAAGCCUCUAGAUAGAAAAUAGGUGCCCGUACCGCAAACCGACACAGGUAGUCAAGAUGAGAAUUCUAAGGUGAGCGAGCGAACUCUCGUUAAGGAACUCGGCAAAAUGACCCCGUAACUUCGGGAGAAGGGGUGCUCUUUAGGGUUAACGCCCAGAAGAGCCGCAGUGAAUAGGCCCAAGCGACUGUUUAUCAAAAACACAGGUCUCUGCUAAACCGUAAGGUGAUGUAUAGGGGCUGACGCCUGCCCGGUGCUGGAAGGUUAAGAGGAGUGGUUAGCUUCUGCGAAGCUACGAAUCGAAGCCCCAGUAAACGGCGGCCGUAACUAUAACGGUCCUAAGGUAGCGAAAUUCCUUGUCGGGUAAGUUCCGACCCGCACGAAAGGCGUAACGAUUUGGGCACUGUCUCAACGAGAGACUCGGUGAAAUCAUAGUACCUGUGAAGAUGCAGGUUACCCGCGACAGGACGGAAAGACCCCGUGGAGCUUUACUGUAGCCUGAUAUUGAAAUUCGGCACAGCUUGUACAGGAUAGGUAGGAGCCUUUGAAACGUGAGCGCUAGCUUACGUGGAGGCGCUGGUGGGAUACUACCCUAGCUGUGUUGGCUUUCUAACCCG